UCAUCCUGACCUAGUUGUGUGGUGUAUUUCAACAUAUUUCCUAAAACUGAAGUUCAUGAAAGAGUUUGCAUGUUUUAGCCUACUUUGAUAUGGUUUGUGUUUGAGAUGAUUCACCUGGGCUGACAGCCAGAAAUGUGCGUGUGUACAAUUCAUCAUACUGUUUGCCAUCAACCAUCUUCCUGUCAGUCUCCUCUGGUGUGUUGUACAGCUACAGCAAACACAGACAAUGAACAAACAGCUCCUUGCAGGUCAUUUUAAUGUAGUUUUACCCUCUUCAGACAAUAAAUUAAACUUUUCUGAUGUGGUUGCUUUAAUUCGGUUCUAUAUAUACAAUGUGUCCCACAGCCCUUAUAAAGAUUGCUCUAUUUAAGCCAAGAUUCAACCUCCAAGAACAUUCUGUCACCUCAGUUUAUUCCAGGAUUUCUGUAAACACUAAUGGAGUCCUGGCAGUCAUGUUUUCCAUAUUUGCUCUUUUCAUGUUGGAAAACAACCUGAAAGGACUUCAUCGUGACCACAAAUCGAUAUUAUUUCUUAUACCCAAUUCUAUUAACAUUAUUUAUACCUGAAUUCAUACAAGGUGGGUAAAGUGGGGGAUUGUUUUCUCUGUUGCAAUGACUGAAGCCAUUUGUAGGGCUUCCCUCCUGACACUGAUGACGUGGUAGCAAUCGAAUUGAACGUGCUUAUACAUCCGAACGUGUACGUCACCGCGUUAACGCGAAGCAAUGCGUGAGCACGUCCGAACGUCCUGUGGCGUGGUUAGCUACUCUGGCUAACGAUUAGUCUUCAGCUGGGUGCAAGUUGCCUCGAGGGAAUUGUAACUUAAUCUAAUUUAUGUCAGCACCGUGACACACUGACGCCCCCCAAACAAUCAUGGAAAAUAGAUUAAAACCGAAAACCUAAUUACCGAAGUAGCUAAAACAAGCUUUGAAGCUAAUCUUCUGUCGAGCACGAGUGAGGCUGGACGCUGAACACACCUGCGGCGCGAAGGUGUCACCACUUCGUCCACGACGUCGUCCACGAUCGGCGAGCCGUCUUCGUACAAUGAAGAAGUUCUUUGAGACCAGGACGGAGGCCUCCAGAAGUCACAAUCGCAGAGACCCAUUAAAGAUGAGAGACGUUGUCCAUGAUGUCGUCCACAAACGGAGUUGGGACCAGGACAGAGACCUCCAGGAGGAGAAGACGACAGCAGCUGAGGACCUGAAGUGGAUGAAAGAAAACAAGUGUUGAGAAGCUGAAGAAGACCUCCACCAUCUGACUGCUGUAAACACUGCUGGUUUCCUGUUAAAGUGAAAACACUUUGUUUUUCCCUCCACCGUCUGUAAUGUAGUCCAGUGACCACAAGGAAGCACUUGUUAGAGCUGGUUAGGGUUAAUAGUUAUGAGCACAUUUUCCACAGACUAAUGUC